ACCAGCUGGAGGCAAAUUAUUAUUAUUGGUUCCAGGGGGGAGAUUUGGGGUUCAGUCAAUUAUCUCCAUUCACAUCUCGUCACAGGCAUUUAAAACAGAGGAGUGGUUAUUCCUUAUGGGAAAUAUUAAUGACUGUCCCUCACGAUCUGUUUCUUCUCCAACAAUGGGCAUGCUUUUGUGAGCCGAAUUCUGAAAGGUUCACUUCUUCUCUUCUUCCCUCUCUCACUGGUCCAGAUCAGCUUCGACACCUGUCUGCUCUGCUGCGAUUUGUAAGGAGGCGGGCGCACAAUUUACCAUCAUGUCUCAGUUGGCUUAUUUUGAUUCUCUGCAGGAAAAGUGAGAACAUGAGAUUUCCAAUGUUCUACAGUGAUUGAUCUACAAAACCAUCAGUGUGACAUGACAGCAUCACCAGGGGCUGACGGAGAUCUGCGUACCCAGGACCCGCCCAGCUCACGCAGGCCUGACAGAGAAGUCCAGCAUGUGAGGGCCCCGAGUUCACUCUUGUCUCGUGAAGAAGCACUGAAGAAUCUGUGCCCCUGCCGAGUCCGGAUGAGAUGCCCAGUAACCUGACUGGACCUCCCUUGACCAGGCUUCUCCCUCCCAGACCCUGAACCCACCCUCCCUGAGCCCUGGAGUGAACACAGCCCCACUGUGUUGCUGGACGGCUGACCCCACGUAAAACGUCCUCUGACCUCCCGCCCGUCAGGCUCCUCUGCUGCCCACACGGUUCUGUCCAGCCCCGCUCGCUCCCCAGAGAACAGCCCCUGCUGCCCAGGCUGGAGACACUCCCGGGUCUCGGGGUUGGACCUUCCCAGCGCUGCGCUCAGUGCUGGCUGUCGGGCUCUCCUUGCGUGGUGUGGGUUGAACUGCAUUCCACUAAAAUCCGUGUGUUGGAGUCCUCAGAAUAUGACCUUAUUUGGAAACGAGGUCGUUGGGGAGGGACGUAAUUAGCUAAGACAGGCCGUGCUGGAACGGGACGGGCCCCAGUGCAGUAGUACUUUUGAGUAAAGUCCCCCCUUACUUCAGUCCAGUUUGUUUUCUUAUUUGGCACCACAAUACCUAUCUGUGCCCUGUUUAUCUUCUGGGAGCGUGUAAGAAGCAACAAGAUAAUGUGUGCAACACACUUUACAAGUGAUACAGCACACACUUGAGCUUUUUCCAUCUUACAGUGACUAACUGGCUUCAAAACUUCCUAUUCUCCCUCAGAGCUGUACAGAGUCAUGCAGGAUGGGGGCAGCAGGUGGCACCAGAGGUUUCCCUUUGACAGACUGUCCUCGAGGAACCAGGGGUUCUCAAUUGCACGACAAAGAUGUUCCCCGUCUACGCCGGCGCUGGUCUGAGUGAGGGUUCCAGGCCAGUGUUCUGACCAGGAUGGGAACACAGAGGAUGAGGUUGUGGAAACACGUGGAUGCUGUCACUGCGUCGACUGAAAAGAUUUGGAGGGUCCCUUCUGAAGUUAACAAAGCCACGUUUCAAAUGGCUCUUGCUGGGACCCCAAGUUCUAGUGCAUGGUGACAAGCUGGGAAAGUCACAUGUCGAGGACGACAUCUGUGACGACACAGGAGGAGGAGGACCCUGGGAGUCACAGCGGGGUCAGACGGGUCUCAGCACACGGCUCCACGCAGAUCGGCCGCCACAUGUGGGCUGCGCUCUCUGCAGAUGGAACAGAGAGGCUGGACUGCAGCAGUUCAUGCUUGCCCCAGGUGAACGUGUUAAAGACGUCACUACUGUCGUCUUUAUCCUGCGCUUUCCAACCACGCGUGCUUCUGUGUUCUGUGAUCCAAGCUUGCAACCUUCCUUGACUUCUUCCUUUGUUUCCUUCGUAGGUUUUCUUCAAGUCACCAACUUCCGUCAGUUCUGGAGCAGCCUCUCCCCACCCCAUCUCCCCGGCGUUGCUCAGUCCUGCUCCUUCCCUGUCACUCUCACUGUCACUGUCUCCAAGUCCAGUGACGGCCACAUAGUUCCUCUGUCGGUUUAUUCUUUCAGUCAUCAAUGUUCUUUUUUCUCCACAGGAUCAAAUCCGUAGGGCCCCCGAAAUUUGGCAAUGCCCCACCCUCCUCCUAGUCUUCAGUACCAAUAUCCCAAACAACACGUGCAUGGUCUUUCUCAUCGUAAAUCUUGGUCAUGGAGCUUCCCCGAAAUGAGAUCCCCUCCUCUCUCAUAUGUACUAAAGUGAACUGGCCUCGAGGCUCAGCUGCUUUCCACCUGCUAACGGAGAAAUCUCUGAUCGUGGCAGCACCAGCGUCUCGUGCACGGGAAGCAAGGCCGCUUCGAACACACCUCAUUCAGCGCCCAGGCUGCCUGCUCCUGCCCUGGCCCGUGGCUCUCCCUGAGAACAGGACUUCCCACUGGGAGGCAGGAGUUUCUGGACUGUGGGUCCCACGUUCCUGCGUAGAGAUGAAAUGCUGAGUGAUCAGUAAGAACUGUUCGAUUUAAUUGAAACCUGGUGCUACUUCCAACCCCGCAGAGCAGCAAGACCCUCCCAGAACUCUGAACCCGCAGCCCCUGGGGUUAUUUGGGGCGUCCCUCAGAGUGGGGGAUUCCUGAAGCCCAGAGCUGGCGGGAGUCAGAGUAAGGCGCAGACUCGGUGUGGAGCCUGAUGGUGGGUCCUCUCGGAGGAGCUCACCUGCCUCACCUUGGAGCUUGGAGAACCGGAAUUCCGGGCCCCCGGCCUUCUGGUCGGACACCCCAGGUGGUGGUGUCACGUUACAGUUCCAGACUCUCUCAGCAGCACGCUCCUCAUCUCCCAAGCCCCCUAACACCUCUCUGUUUCCACCCCCACAGGAACCGCGUGUCCCCUGUGCUCAGCUUCUAAAUCAAGAGCCAGAGGAAGAUGGGGGAUGCGACACCUGAAAGUCCCCGAGGUCAUUUGGGGCCAGCGUCUCACAUCGGGUUCCAGAAUCAACAAGUCGGUGUGCUAGGGUUUACUCUCCAUCUGUUUUCUUAGAAAAAACAGUCAGACGCUUCGUUCCAACAGGACUCCCUCCCGCUGACUCUGUGACGUUAACUGUAGAAACAGCCACGACGUUGAAAGGUUUGAAGACUCAGACCCACACGGCUAAAGAAAAGGAAAGGACAGUUUUCUUUGGUUUUAUUGCUAAAUACGCUUAUACGUAUGACACAAUCACACGAUUCUACACAACACACUUACACAACAGAUAAUUAACACACCAUGAGAAGGCCAAACAAACCGUAGAUAUGAGGUAUCGUUUCUAAGUUCCCCAAUUUUAUGAAGCAAAACAUAUUGACCUACAGCCAAAAUUAUCAUUUGAACAGUCAGCUAAACACACCGUUUAAGAAAAGGAUUAUAAAGCUCUUUGUACUCAUAAAUAAUCAAAUCCAAUCUCACAGUAUAAAAGAGUUUUAGUAGUUGUGAAAUAAUAUAAAAAUGUGAAGUUGUGGCUUUUUAAAGUUCGAUUCACCUACAAUAGCACGUAUACUGUGUCGGUGACGGAUAUUUGAGAUUUAAAGUAUUGGUAACACAGACAUAAUCAGACUUAAACAUUUUAAUGUUUUGUGGUACUUUUCACCCAGAUAGUAACUCACUACUUUGUGAUUAUUAGUAUAAAUAACGAGGUGUAUCCUGUGUAUUUCGUUCUUGUAAUAAACGUUCGCUGAAUGCUGUUGCCCACCUCGUAUAUUCACCGGAACCUUCCUUUCAGGAAAGGACGGUGGGAAACCAAGAGGGCCGUGAGCUGAUUACAGGCCCAGAUGUGUGCCACGGCCUGGAGCUGCAGGCUGUCACUGUUCCUUAAUUAGGCUGACAGAAACCUCACACCCGUGUUGGCCGGAAAACAGACUCAUUCACAUAACACUACACUGAGACAAAGGCAAAUACUUCAAUACAUAAUUCAGUAGGUUCUAAAAUUGUUAGUGGAAACAAGCUGAAAACCCUCAAAACUCGCAACACGUAAGGAAACGUGCUCUUGAGGUAAGGUCUUGCACAACAGAAGGGAAUUAAAAUGAGACGAAUUGAGCU